rnacentral:rRNA from 1 species
UACGUAGGGUGCAAGCGUUGUCCGGAAUUAUUGGGCGUAAAGAGCUCGUAGGCGGUCUGUCACGUCGGCUGUGAAAUCCCGAGGCUCAACCUCGGGUCUGCAGUCGAUACGGGCAAACUAGAGUAUUGCAGGGGAGACUGGAAUUCCUGGUGUAGCGGUAGAAAUGCGCAGAUAUCAGGAGGAACACCGGUGGCGAAGGCGGGUCUCUGGGCAAUAACUGACGCUGAG